AAUAGAUACCCGGGUAGUCCACGCCGUAAACGGUGGGCACUAGGUGUGGGCGACAUUCCACGUCGUCCGUGCCGCAGCUAACGCAUUAAGUGCCCCGCCUGGGGAGUACGGCCGCAAGGCUAAAACUCAAAGGAAUUGACGGGGGCCCGUACAAGCGGCGGAGCAUGUGGCUUAAUUCGACGCAACGCGAAGAACCUUACCAAGGCUUGACAUACACCGGAAACGUCCAGAGAUGGGCGCCCCCUUGUGGUCGGUGUACAGGUGGUGCAUGGCUGUCGUCAGCUCGUGUCGUGAGAUGUUGGGUUAAGUCCCGCAACGAGCGCAACCCUUGUCCCGUGUUGCCAGCAGGCCCUUGUGGUGCUGGGGACUCACGGGAGACCGCCGGGGUCAACUCGGAGGAAGGUGGGGACGACGUCAAGUCAUCAUGCCCCUUAUGUCUUGGGCUGCACACGUGCUACAAUGGCCGGUACAAUGAGCUGCGAUACCGCGAGGUGGAGCGAAUCUCAAAAAAGCCGGUCUCAGUUCGGAUUGGGGUCUGCAACUCCG
rnacentral:rRNA from 1 species